rnacentral:rRNA from 1 species
GUAGGUGGCAAGCGUUGUCCGGAAUUAUUGGGCGUAAAGCGCGCGCAGGCGGUCCUUUAAGUCUGAUGUGAAAGCCCACGGCUCAACCGUGGAGGGUCAUUGGAAACUGGGGGACUUGAGUACAGAAGAGGAAAGCGGAAUUCCAAGUGUAGCGGUGAAAUGCGUAGAGAUUUGGAGGAACACCAGUGGCGAAGGCGGCUUUCUGGUCUGUAACUGACGCUGAGGCGCGGAAGCGUGGGGAGCAAACAGGGAUUAGAUACCCUGGUAGUCCACGCCGUAAACGAUGAGUGCUAAGUGUUAGGGGGUUUCCCGCCCCUUAGUGCUGCAGCUAACGCAUUAAGCACUCCGCCUGGGGAGUACGGCCGCAAGGCUG